GAGUUUGAUCAUGGCUCAGGACGAACGCUGGCGGCGUGCUUAACACAUGCAAGUCGAACGGUGAAGCCCUUCGGGGUGGAUCAGUGGCGAACGGGUGAGUAACACGUGAGCAAUCUGCCCUUGACUCUGGGAUAACUUCGGGAAACCGGAGCUAAUACCGGAUAUGACACAUGGUCGCAUGGUCUGUGUGUGGAAAGAUUUAUCGGUCAGGGAUGAGCUCGCGGCCUAUCAGCUUGUUGGUGGGGUAAUGGCCCACCAAGGCGACGACGGGUAGCCGGCCUGAGAGGGCGACCGGCCACACUGGGACUGAGACACGGCCCAGACUCCUACGGGAGGCAGCAGUGGGGAAUAUUGCGCAAUGGGCGAAAGCCUGACGCAGCGACGCCGCGUGAGGGAUGAAGGCCUUCGGGUCGUAACCGUACUUUCUAGCAGGAAGAAGCGAGAGUGACGGUACCUGCAGAAGAAG
rnacentral:rRNA from 1 species